AUCCCAGGAGCGCAAUGGAAAGCGCGUUGGGCUUCUAAUCCAAAGGUCGUGGGUUCGAAUCCUACCUGGGAUG